rnacentral:rRNA from 1 species
CGUGCUAAUCUGCGAUAAGCGCCGGUAAGGUGAUAUGAACCGUUAUAACCGGCGAUACCCGAAUGGGGAAACCCAGUGUGACUCGUCACACUAUCAUUAACUGAAUCCAUAGGUUAAUGAGGCGAACCGGGGGAACUGAAACAUCUAAGUACCCCGAGGAAAAGAAAUCAACCGAGAUUCCCCCAGUAGCGGCGAGCGAACGGGGAGGAGCCCAGAGCCUGAAUCAGCAUGUGUGUUAGUGGAAGCGUCUGGAAAGGCGCGCGAUACAGGGUGACAGCCCCGUACACAAAAGCGCAUGUGCUGUGAGCUCGAUGAGUAGGGCGGGACACGUGGUAUCCUGUCUGAAUAUGGGGGGACCAUCCUCCAAGGCUAAAUACUCCUGACUGACCGAUAGUGAACCAGUACCGUGAGGGAAAGGCGAAAAGAACCCCGGCGAGGGGAGUGAAAAAGAACCUGAAACCGUGUACGUACAAGCAGUGGGAGCACAGGUUUACCUGUGUGACUGCGUACCUUUUGUAUAAUGGG